GUGCUCUUCCCUGGGGUAAGCUUUGGAUGGCCUUUCCUUUCCAAAAUCACAGGCAGAGCAGUGGGGCCAACACGAAGAGCCAGAGUGUCUAAGCUCCCACAGUGGGUCGGGCUCUUGCUAGAAGACUCCACGGGUGUUCUUUCUAAUCCUUUUGACAACCUUGGGAGGAAGUCUGUGAACUUCACGGAUGAAAAAACAAACUUGGAGAAGUUAACAACUUGCCAGAAACCAUUUAGCUAUUUGAUAAACAAGGUCUCAAGCCCAGGUAUGUCUGACUCCAAAUUCCAUGUUCUGACCCAUCGUCCCCAGGCAAUAACUAUAAUCCACUAUCUCCUGACUCCACCGUCUACACAGUGGGCUCAACCAGGGAGGCAGAUCUCAGCCCCAGAGCUCUCCUACAUUCGCCAGAAUGGCCCUAAGAGACUGGCCGAGUGGGCACCUCCUCUCAGUGGCGGAGCAGCGGUGUGUGUGUGAGGACUGUGUGGGGUCAACGUCCUGGUGACGGAGCUGGAGUAAAACCCUGGUCUGUAGACUCGCAGUUGGAUUCUCUUCAUCUUGGUGCCUUCACAUCUAUGGGAAUCUGGAAAAGAGCUUCCCGGUGUGCACUUAGGCAGGGCCAUGUCUUGUCUCCUUUGGCCCUAGGCUUGGCAUGAAAGGAGAGGGGAAAUGGGGCCAUUCUCUUGUGUUUCUGUUUCUCCUCGGCUGUCAGCACUUCUCUGUCUCAUUAUGUCUGAGCUCUCACCAACAGGAACCCACCCAAAGGCCUGUCUACAUGUUGCCUGGUUGUCUUAUUUAAAGCUGUAUUUUAAUUUUUAAAAAUACAUUUUUUGUGGGGUGUGAUGGCUAAUGCCUGUAAUCCCAGCACUUUGGGAGGCCGAGGUGGGUGGAUCACUUGAGGUCAGGGGUUCGAGAACAGCCUGGCCAACAUGGCAAAACCCCAUCUCUACUAAAAAUAGAAAAAUUAGCCAGGUAUGGUGACGCAGCCUGUAAUCCCAGCUGCUCGGGAGGCUGAGGCAGGAGAAUUGCUUGAACUUGGGAGGCGGGGCCCCUGCACUCCAGCCUGGGUGACGGAGUGAGACUGUGUCUCAAAAAAAAAAAAAAAAAAAAAGUAUAGAAAAUCAGAUUUGACAAUAGAACCAGCACACAGAUGCUUCCCAAG
rnacentral:lncRNA from 1 species